ACGGGUGAGUAACACGUGGGCAACCUGCCCUUGAGACUGGGAUAACUUCGGGAAACCGGAGCUAAUACCGGAUAAUAUAAGGAACCUCCUGGUUCCUUGUUGAAAGAUGGUUUCGGCUAUCACUUAAGGAUGGGCCCGCGGCGCAUUAGCUAGUUGGUGAGGUAACGGCUCACCAAGGCGACGAUGCGUAGCCGACCUGAGAGGGUGAUCGGCCACACUGGGACUGAGACACGGCCCAGACUCCUACGGGAGGCAGCAGUAGGGAAUCUUCCACAAUGGACGAAAGUCUGAUGGAGCAACGCCGCGUGAGUGAUGAAGGCCUUCGGGUCGUAAAGCUCUGUUGUUAGGGAAGAACAAGUGCGAGAGUAACUGCUCGCACCUUGACGGUACCUAACCAGAAAGCCACGGCUAACUACGUGCCAGCAGCCGCGGUAAUACGUAGGUGGCAAGCGUUAUCCGGAAUUAUUGGGCGUAAAGCGCGCGCAGGUGGUUUCUUAAGUCUGAUGUGAAAGCCCACGGCUCAACCGUGGAGGGUCAUUGGAAACUGGGGAACUUGAGUGCAGAAGA
rnacentral:rRNA from 1 species